rnacentral:rRNA from 1 species
GACGUAGGGCGCGAGCGUUGUCCGGAUUUAUUGGGCGUAAAGAGCUCGUAGGCGGCUUGUCGCGUCGACUGUGAAAUCCCGCGGCUCAACUGCGGGUCUGCAGUCGAUACGGGCAGGCUAGAGUUCGGUAGGGGAGACUGGAAUUCCUGGAUGUAGCGGUGAAAUGCGCAGAGUAUCAGGAGGAACACCAGCGGCGAAGGCGGCGCUCUGGGCCGGAACUGACGCUGAGGUGCGAAAGCGUGGGGAGCAAACAGG